GACGAACGCUGGCGGCGUGCUUAACACAUGCAAGUCGAACGGAAAGGCCCUGCUUUUGUGGGGUGCUCGAGUGGCGAACGGGUGAGUAACACGUGAGUAACCUGCCCUUGACUUUGGGAUAACUUCAGGAAACUGGGGCUAAUACCGGAUAGGAGCUCCUGCUGCAUGGUGGGGGUUGGAAAGUUUCGGCGGUUGGGGAUGGACUCGCGGCUUAUCAGCUUGCUGGUGGGGUAGUGGCUUACCAAGGCUUUGACGGGUAGCCGGCCUGAGAGGGUGACCGGCCACAUUGGGACUGAGAUACGGCCCAGACGCCUACGGGAGGCAGCAGUGGGGAAUAUUGCACAAUGGGCGGAAGCCUGAGGCAGCAACGCCGCGUGCGGGAUGACGGCCUUCGGGUUGUAAACCGCUUUCGCCUGUGACGAAGCGUGAGUGACGGUAAUGGGUAAAGAAGCACCGGCUAACUACGUG
rnacentral:rRNA from 1 species